rnacentral:rRNA from 1 species
AGAGCGAACGCUGGCGGCAGGCCUAACACAUGCAAGUCGAGCGCCCGUAGCAAUACGGGAGCGGCAGACGGGAUAGUAACACGUGGGAACGCGCCCUUCGGUUCGGAAUAACUCAGGGAAACUUGAGCUAAUACCGGAUACGCCCUUACGGGGAAAGAUUUAUUGCCGAAGGAACGGCCCGCGUCCGAUUAGCUAGUUGGUGAGGUAAUGGCUCACCAAGGCUAUGACGGGUAGCUGGUCUGAGAGGACGACCAGCCACACUGGAACUGAGACACGGUCCAGACACCUACGGGUGGCAGCAGUCGAGAAUUUUUCACAAUGGGGGAAACCCUGAUGGAGCGACGCCGCGUGGAGGAUGAAGGUUCUUGGAUUGUAAACUCCUGUCACUGCAGAACAAGGAUACGCCAGUUAACAGCUGGCGUAUUUGAUGGUAUGCGGAGAGGAAGGGACGGCUAACUCUAGUGCCAGCAGCCGC